CCUACGGGGGGCUGCAGUGAGGAAUAUUGGUCAAUGGACGAGAGUCUGAACCAGCCAAGUAGCGUGAAGGAUGACUGCCCUAUGGGUUGUAAACUUCUUUUAUAAAGGAAUAAAACGAGGCACGUGUGCCUCUUUGCAUGUACUUUAUGAAUAAGGAUCGGCUAACUCCGUGCCAGCAGCCGCGGUAAUACGGAGGAUCCGAGCGUUAUCCGGAUUUAUUGGGUUUAAAGGGAGCGUAGAUGGGUUGUUAAGUCAGUUGUGAAAGUUUGCGGCUCAACCGUAAAAUUGCAAUUGAUACUGGCAGUCUUGAGUACAGUUGAGGUAAGCGGAAUUCGUGGUGUAGCGGUGAAAUGCUUAGAUAUCACGAAGAACCCCGAUUGCGAAGGCAGCUUACUAAACUGUGACUGACAUUGAUGCUCGAAAGUGUGGGUAUCAAACAGGAUUAGAUACCCCUGUAGUC
rnacentral:rRNA from 1 species